AGUAGAAUGGCCGAGGUAUAGGCAAUAAAUUGUAAAUUUAUCCACGAAUUCGAUUCUUCUACUA
rnacentral:tRNA from 2 species